UCAGACUGACCUACACAGCGGUUGGAUCCAUGCAUGCCCACAAAUUAGCGGGAGGUUUGGUUUAGGAGACCUGUUACAGGAGUAACAUCGUAGAAGCUAUCAAGGGACCUGAAUUCUAGUCUUGGCACUGCCUCUGACCUUCUCAGUGACUUACUCUGUUUCCAUGAAAAAACUAGUCUCUUCCACUUGAUCGCUUUGGUGGCUUUUUAAAGAUUUGUUUUAUUUGACAAGUGGAGACCCUGCUAUGUCACUCUUUUGCACGCAUGAACAACUUACACUGUAAUGGGGCAGAUGGGCUGUGAAGAGGAUAAACAUAGCUUUUUAAUCGUAGUGAAGUAAUGAAAAUGGUUGCCUUCUCUCCCCAGUCACGCAAAAUUGGUGAAGCAUUACUACUUAAAGAGGAACCAGAGCUUCUGCCCAACUGUCAACCUUGAUAAAACAUGGAUCUCAGUCAGUGAGCAGACACAGGUCAACGCUGCCAAGAACAAGGCUGGGUUGUGAAGACCCAGCCUGGGAGAGAUUUCACGACUUGUUCAAACUUUUGUUGCCAGCGUCUGAGUGAAGACUUGCACCUUGGAGUUGUAUCUCUAAGGAUAAAGUCUUCAGCCUCUUGAUCUUCCCUUAGUAUCAAAGGACAGAUUCAAACAAGGAAAUAGGGAAUGCAAAAACAAAGGAAGAACAAUCAAGAAACUAUAGUGCUGGAUGAGCAAGGUCCUGGUUCCUCCUCAGGGAAUGUACAUAAUAAUUACCAUUGAGUUCUACCGGAACUAAGGCCCCACCCAAGUGAAGGUGCAGAUGGUGACGGCAGCCAUGAAAUAAAAGGACACUCACUCCUUGGAAGAAAAGUUCUGACCAACUAAACAGCAUAUUAAAAAGCAGAGACA